AUUGAACGCUGGCGGCAGGCCUAACACAUGCAAGUCGAGCGGAUGAGUGGAGCUUGCUCCAUGAUUCAGCGGCGGACGGGCGAGUAAUGCCUAGGAAUCUGCCUAUUAGUGGGGGACAACGUUUCGAAAGGAACGCUAAUACCGCAUACGUCCUACGGGAGAAAGCAGGGGACCUUCGGGCCUUGCGCUAAUAGAUGAGC
rnacentral:rRNA from 1 species